UACGUAGGGUGCGAGCGUUGUCCGGAAUUAUUGGGCGUAAAGAGCUCGUAGGCGGUUUCGUAAGUCGGAUGUGAAAACUCAGGGCUCAACCCGGAGACGCCAUCCGAUACUGCGAUGACUUGAGUCUGGUAGGGGAACACGGAAUUCCUGGUGUAGCGGUGAAAUGCGCAGAUAUCAGGAGGAACACCGAUGGCGAAGGCAGUGUUCUGGGCCAGUACUGACGCUGAGGAGCGAAAGCGUGGGGAGCGAACAGG
rnacentral:rRNA from 1 species